AUUGAACGCUGGCGGCAUGCCUUACACAUGCAAGUCGAACGGCAGCACGGGAGCAAUCCUGGUGGCGAGUGGCGAACGGGUGAGUAAAGUAUCGGAACGUGCCCAGUCGUGGGGGAUAACGUAGCGCAAGUUACGCUAAUACCGCAUACGAUCUAUGGAUGAAAGCGGGGGAUCGCAAGACCUCGCGCGAUUGGAGCGGCCGAUAUCAGAUUAGGUAGUUGGUGGGGUAAAGGCGCACCAAGCCGACGAUCUGUAGCUGGUCUGAGAGGACGACCAGCCACACUGGGACUGAGACACGGCCCAGACUCCUACGGGAGGCAGCAGUGGGGAAUUUUGGACAAUGGGCGCAAGCCUGAUCCAGCCAUGCCGCGUGCAGGAUGAAGGCCUUCGGGUUGUAAACUGCUUUUGUACGGAACGAAAAGGUUUGACUUAAUACGUUGGACUCAUGACGGUACCGUAAGAAUAAGCACCGGCUAACUACGUGCCAGCAGCCGCCGUAA
rnacentral:rRNA from 1 species